UACGAAGGGGGCUAGCGUUGCUCGGAAUUACUGGGCGUAAAGGGCGCGUAGGCGGACAGUUUAGUCAGAGGUGAAAGCCCAGGGCUCAACCUUGGAAUUGCCUUUGAUACUGGCUGUCUUGAGUACGGGAGAGGUGAGUGGAACUCCGAGUGUAGAGGUGAAAUUCGAAGAUAUUCGGAAGAACACCAGUGGCGAAGGCGACUCACUGGCCCGUUACUGACGCUGAGGCGCGAAAGCUUGGGUAGCAAACGGG
rnacentral:rRNA from 1 species